UACGUAGGGCGCAAGCGUUGUCCGGAAUUAUUGGGCGUAAAGAGCUCGUAGGCGGUUUGUCGCGUCUGCUGUGAAAACCUAAGGCUCAACCUUGGGCUUGCAGUGGGUACGGGCAGACUAGAGUGCGGUAGGGGUGACUGGAAUUCCUGGUGUAGCGGUGGAAUGCGCAGACAUCAGGAGGAACACCGAUGGCGAAGGCAGGUCACUGGGCCGCAACUGACGCUGAGGAGCGAAAGCAUGGGGAGCGAACAGG
rnacentral:rRNA from 1 species